CUUAACGCUNACCGGCGUGCUUAACUCAUGCAAGUCGAACGAUGAAGCCCUUCGGGGUGGAUUAGUGGCGAACGGGUGAGUAACACGUGGGCAAUCUGCCCUUCACUCUGGGACAAGCCCUGGAAACGGGGUCUAAUACCGGAUAANACUCCUGCCUGCAUGGGCGGGGGUUGAAAGCUCCGGCGGUGAAGGAUGAGCCCGCGGCCUAUCAGCUUGUUGGUGGGGUAAUGGCCCACCAAGGCGACGACGGGUAGCCGGCCUGAGAGGGCGACCGGCCACACUGGGACUGAGACACGGCCCAGACUCCUACGGGAGGCAGCAGUGGGGAAUAUUGCACAAUGGGCGAAAGCCUGAUGCAGCGACGCCGCGUGAGGGAUGACGGCCUUCGGGUUGUAAACCUCUUUCAGCAGGGAAGAAGCGAAAGUGACGGUACCUGCAGAAGAAGCGCCGGCUAACUACGUGCCAGCAGCCGCGGUAAUACGUAGGGCGCAAGCGUUGUCCGGAAUUAUUGGGCGUAAAGAGCUCGUAGGCGGCUUGUCACGUCGGAUGUGAAAGCCCGAGGCUUAACCUCGGGUCUGCAUUCGAUACGGGCUAGCUAGAGUGUGGUAGGGGAGAUCGGAAUUCCUGGUGUAGCGGUGAAAUGCGCAGAUAUCAGGAGGAACACCGGUGGCGAAGGCGGAUCUCUGGGCCAUUACUGACGCUGAGGAGCGAAAGCGUGGGGAGCGAACAGGAUUAGAUACCCUGGUAGUCCACGCCGUAAACGUUGGAACUAGGUGUUGGCGACAUUCCACGUCGUCGGUGCCGCANCUAACGCAUNANUUCCCCCCUGGGANNCNGCCNAAGGUNAACUCAAAGAAUNACGGGGNCCNNCAACGCGGANCUGNGNUUAUUUACCACCGAAACUACANGNUNANNNCCGAAGAUAAAANUGCCCUGGNCGNUAGGGGCUGNGCNACNGUCGNAUNGUANCCAACCACUUCUUUCNUNCUNGGNGANAGACCGGAUGGNGGNAAAAUCCUUGUCCNAGCNANNNNGGANACCUNNGNNCCAGUNAAUGACCNCCA
rnacentral:rRNA from 1 species